rnacentral:lncRNA from 1 species
UGGUCAUGAUGGUAACUUUCAUCAAAAAUAAAAAUAGAUCAAAUCUUUGUAAUUGUGAACAACAGCAAUCAAACUGACUGCAACAUAAACAGCACAAUAGACAACAUUUUAAGCAUAUGAAUAUUUUAUCGGUAUAAAUAGGUUUAGAUUGAACAUAUUUAGCAAGAUCUGGAAUAUAGUUGCCAUGUUGGAGGUAUAAGUACACAAAAUCC